rnacentral:tRNA from 1 species
AUCUAAAUAGUUUCGAUAGGGUUCAAAAUCCCCCGCUGGUGACAGCGUGCCGGUUCGAGUCCGGCCUUGGGUACCA